rnacentral:tRNA from 1 species
GCCCUCGUGGUUUUAUGGUCAGCACGCUAGACGCGUAUUCGAGAAGUCAGUGGUUCGAGUCCCGGCGAGGGCA